rnacentral:misc_RNA from 1 species
GUAUAUAUUACAUAGGCACAACAUUCUAAUGACAUACAAUUGGGGUAAAAUGAAGUAACAUAGACCUGGAAAGGUCUACAAAAAGUGCACAGGUGGAGAUAUAAAGAUGACAAGGCGUGCACAUGCUCCCUAGAGAGCCAGCAACAACCCGUCAGGUUUAUUUCAAUAAUGAUCCUUCCGCAGGUUCACCUACGGAAA